rnacentral:rRNA from 1 species
GACAGAGGUGCCGAGCGUUAGGCGGAAUCACUGGGCGUAAAGGGCGCGUAGGCGGCGCGGUAAGUCGUCGGUGAAAGCUCGGGGCUCAACCCUGAGUCUGCCGGUGAUACUCCCGCGCUCGAGCUCACUAGAGGCAGAUGGAAUUCCGGGUGUAGCGGUGGAAUGCGUAGAGAUCCGGAAGAACACCGGUGGCGAAGGCGGUCUGCUGGGGUGAGGCUGACGCUGAUGCACGAAAGCGUGGGGAGCAAACAGG